AUUAUAUAUCAGAUGCGUUAAAUUACAAGAAACAUUGAACAUACAUGCAUAUAAACUGUGAUUAAAGAAGACAAAUAUUAGAAACCAAGGAGCCUGUAGUUUAAAAGGAAAGAUUGUGAUCUCAUUUAUAAGGUAGUAAGAACGUACCUAGGACUAUGGGAACUAGAGCAACCUUUGAAGCAUGGUUUAAACUUUUCUUCUCCUAUAGACCACAAGUUCCCACUCUACAAGGAAGAGAAGUAUCAAAUAACCAUAAAAGAAGAAGAUUGGCAACGUAGCAAUAGCAACAUUGGUGUGAAACGUCAUUACAAGUGUGAAACUUUCAAGGAUCACUCACAAGUAAUUCAAGUUGUUGAAUGUUCUCCAAGUGCAGCUGGUAUCUGAAGAUUCUAGGAGACAAUCAAUGUACGAGACAAACUUUGGCUAGGAAGUCCUCUGUUUCAUUAAGAAAACAAGACAAUCUCAGAAAUCUGUCUAUCUUGUUUCUCUUUUUGUCUUGUGUAAUAUAACAGAUGGAUUGAUUUUGAUCUACGCCGAUAUCCUUCAACGAGAUUUGUAAAUCAUUGUUAGAAUCAAAUUGCUUUAUCAUAACACACACCAAAAUUCAAAGAAAUUUUUAUGACGUAUAAACCUUGCUGGGCUAUUGGAGAAGAGAAGAAACUCCAUAGAUGGAGACCAAAAAUCAAAACAAGAGAUCAAUGAUUCUCAUUACCAUUGGAGUAGCAGAAAACGAAAGACCUGAUAAUUAAUUUAAGUUAUGUGAUUUUGAUGUUGAGAGAGACGCCGAUUUGUGUCACGUACAAGGAAAAUUCGAUUUGCAGAGAAA
rnacentral:lncRNA from 1 species